rnacentral:rRNA from 1 species
UACAGAGGUCCCAAGCGUUGUUCGGAUUCACUGGGCGUAAAGGGUGCGUAGGUGGCCAGAUAAGUUUGAUGUGAAAUCUCCGGGCUUAACCCGGAAAAUGCAUUGAAUACUAUUUGGCCGGAGGGUUGGAGGGGGGACUGGAAUACUUGGUGUAGCAGUGAAAUGCGUAGAUAUCAAGUGGAACACCAGUGGCGAAGGCGAGUCCCUGGACAACUCCUGACACUGAGGCACGAAAGCUAGGGGAGCAAACAGG